rnacentral:rRNA from 1 species
AUACGGAGGAUGCGAGCGUUAUCCGGAUUUAUUGGGUUUAAAGGGAGCGUAGGCGGGAGCUUAAGUCAGCGGUUAAAUGGUGCGGCUCAACCGUGCCCUGUCGUUGAAACUGGGUUUCUUGAGAGUGCACGAGGCGGAUGGGAAUCCUGGUGUAGCGGGGGAAUGCUUAGAUAUCAUGAAGAACUCCGAUUGCGAAGGCAGUCCGCUGGGGCACGUCUGACGCUGAUGCUCGAAGGUGCGGGAAUCAAACAGGAUUAGAUACCCUGGUAGUCCGCACGGUAAACGAUGAUUACCCGCUGUCGGCGGUAGACAGUCGGCGGCCAAGCGAAAGCGAUAAGUAAUCCACCUGGGGAGUACGCCGGCAACGGUGAAACUCAAAUGAAUUGACGGGG